AUUGAACGCUGGCGGCAGGCCUAACACAUGCAAGUCGAACGGUAACAGGAAACAGCUUGCUGUUUCGCUGACGAGUGGCGGACGGGUGAGUAAUGUCUGGGAAACUGCCUGAUGGAGGGGGAUAACUACUGGAAACGGUAGCUAAUACCGCAUAACGUCGCAAGACCAAAGAGGGGGACCUUCGGGCCUCUUGCCAUCGGAUGUGCCCAGAUGGGAUUAGCUAGUAGGUGGGGUAACGGCUCACCUAGGCGACGAUCCCUAGCUGGUCUGAGAGGAUGACCAGCCACACUGGAACUGAGACACGGUCCAGACUCCUACGGGAGGCAGCAGUGGGGAAUAUUGCACAAUGGGCGCAAGCCUGAUGCAGCCAUGCCGCGUGUAUGAAGAAGGCCUUCGGGUUGUAAAGUACUUUCAGCGGGGAGGAAGGGAGUAAAGUUAAUACCUUUGCUCAUUGACGUUACCCGCAGAAGAAGCACCGGCUAACUCCGU
rnacentral:rRNA from 1 species